rnacentral:rRNA from 1 species
GCCUUCGAGCGGGGGAUAGGCCCGGGACACCGGGAUUAAUACCGCAUAAAGUCAUAAAUACGAUGGUGUUGUGAUGAAAGGCGGGGACCUUCGGUGCCGCCACUUGAAGAUAAGCCCGCAUCUGAUUAGUUAGUUGGUAGGGUAAUGGCCCUACCAAGACCGCGAUCAGUAGCUGUUCUAAGAGGAAGAUCAGCCACAUUGGGACUGAGAUACGGCCCAGACUCCUACGGGAGGCAGCAGUGAGGAAUUUUGCGCAAUGGGGGAGAACCCUGACGCAGCAACGCCGCGUGACCGAUUGAAGCUUUUAGGAGUGUAAAGGUCUGUCGUGAAGGAAGAAAAAGUCCGGAGAAUAAUAAGUUCGGUAAUUGACGGUACUUCACAAGCAAGCUCCGGCUAACUUCGUGCCAGCAGCCGCGGUAAUACGAGGGGGAGCAAGCGUUGUCCGAAAUAACUGGGCGUAAAGGGUACGUAGGCUUUUUUGUAUGUUUUCGGUGAAAUCCACAGGCUCAACUUGUGGCUUGCCGGAAAAACUGCAGAGAUUGAAUCCGGAAGGGGAAAGCGGAAUUCCUGGUGUAGCGGUGAAAUGCCGUAGAUAUCAGGAGGAACACCAGUGGCGAAGGCGGCUUUCUGGUCCGGAAUUGACGCUGAUGUACUAAAGCGUGGGUAGCAAACAGGAUUAGAUACCCUGGUAGUCCACGCCCUAAACGAUGUAUACUUGAUGUCGGGAUGUUCGGUCGUCUCGGUGUCGUAGCUAACGUGUUAAGUAUACCGCCUGGGGACUACGGUCGCAAGACUGAAACUCAAAGGAAUUGACGGGGGCCCGCACCAGCGGUGGAACAUGUGGUUUAAUUCGAUGCAACGCGAAGAACCUUACCUGGGCUUGACAUAUGUAUGAAGUAUGUAAGAAAUUAUGUAUUCUGUCUGAUUUUUCAGACAGUAUAUAUACAGGUGAUGCAUGGCUGUCGUCAGCUCGUGUCAUGAGAUGUAGGUUUAAGUCCCUUAACGAGCGCAACCCUUACUUUUAG